rnacentral:tRNA from 1 species
GCUCCUAAAGGAUAAUAGUCAUCCGCUGGUCUUAGGAACCAGAAACUCUUGGUGCAACUCCAAGUAGUAGCU